GCCGAUGUAGCUCAAAGGUAGAGCAACUGACUUGUAAUCAGUAGGUUGCGAGUUCGAUUCUCGCCAUCGGCU
rnacentral:tRNA from 2 species